UACGGGGGGGGCUAGCGUUGUUCGGAAUUACUGGGCGUAAAGGGCGCGUAGGCGGCCUACUAAGUCGGACGUGAAAUCCCUCGGCUCAACCGGGGAACUGCGUCCGAUACUGGUGGGCUCGAAUCCGGGAGAGGGAUGUGGAAUUCCAGGUGUAGCGGUGAAAUGCGUAGAUAUCUGGAGGAACACCGGUGGCGAAGGCGGCAUCCUGGACCGGUAUUGACGCUGAUGCGCGAAAGCAAGGGGAGCAAACGGG
rnacentral:rRNA from 1 species